rnacentral:lncRNA from 10 species
GUGUGUUACUGGAUUUGGUUUGCUACUAUUUUUUUAAGAAUGUUCAUGUCCAUAUAUGUAAGAUACAUUGGUGUGUAGUUUUCUUUCUUGUGAUAUUUUUAUCUGAAUUGCACAUACUCUUGUCAACAUAAUUGUUUUCCCUUUUACUUAGCUAAUGGCAGCAUUAGCCGCUGUUGGGCCUCCUAAUCCUCGGGCAGAUCCAGAGUGCUGCAGUAUUCUGCAUGGCCUUGUUGCAGCAGUGGAAACUCUCUGCAAAAUUACUGAAUACCAACAUGAGGCUCGUACUCUACUCAUGGAGAAUGCAGAACGUGUUGGAAAUAGAGGACGAAUAAUCUGUAUUACUAAUGCAAAAAGUGAUAGUCAUGUGCGAAUGCUUGAAGACUGUG